rnacentral:rRNA from 1 species
AAUAUUUUAAUGGCCGCGGUAUUUUGACCGUGCUAAGGUAGCAUAAUCAUUAGUUUCUUAAUUGGGAGCUGGAAUGAAGGGUUGGAUGAAAAAGGUGCUGUCUUUAUUUAAAUAAUAGAAUUUUAUUUUUAAGUUAAAAAGCUUAAAUAUUUUUAAAAGACGAGAAGACCCUAUAGAGUUUAAUAAAGAUUAUAUAUUUUAAUAUUUAGAAUUUUAAUAUUAAAAUUAAUUGGUUUAUUUAAUUGGGGUAGUUGAAAAAUUUACUUAAUUUUUUUUUUAUAAUAAUAUUUUAAAUAAGUAUUUGAUCCAGUUUUAUUGAUUAUAAGAUUAAAUUACCUUAGGGAUAACAGCGUAAUUUUAUUGGAGAGUUCUAAUCGAUAAUAGAGAUUGCGACCUCGAUGUUGGAUUAAAA